rnacentral:rRNA from 1 species
CCUACGAGUGGCAGCAGUGGGGGAUAUUGCACAAUGGGGGGAACCCUGAUGCAGCGACGCCGCGGGGGUGAAGAAGCGCCUCGGCGCGUAAAGCCCUGUCAGCAGGGAAGAAAAUGACGGUACCUGAAGAAGAAGCCCCGGCUAACUACGUGCCAGCAGCCGCGGGAAUACGUAGGGGGCAAGCGUUAUCCGGAUUUACUGGGUGUAAAGGGGGCGCAGACGGGGAUGCAAGCCAGGAGGGAAAGCCCGGGGGCCAACCCCGGGACUGCUCUUGGAACUGCGUGGCUGGAGUGCAGGAGGGGCAGGCGGAAUUCCUGGUGUAGCGGUGAAAUGCGUAGAUAUUAGGAGGAACACCGAUUGCGAAGGCAUCUCACGAAUCCGCGAUUGACGCUGAUGCACGAAAGCGUGGGUAUCAAACAGGAUUAGAUACCCUGGUAGUC